AGCGUUAGGCGGAAUCACUGGGCUUAAAGCGUGUGUAGGCGGAUCGUUAAGUGUCUUGUGAAAUCCCACGGCUCACCCGUGGAACUGCUGGGCAUACUGGCGAUCUUGGGCCAACUAGGGGCAGUCGGAACAAGCGGUGGAGCGGUGAAAUGCGUAGAUAUCGCUUGGAACGCCGAAGGUGAAAACAGACUGCUGGGAUUGCGCCGACGCUGAGACACGAAAGCCAGGGGAGCAAACGGG
rnacentral:rRNA from 1 species